GCACUGCUGAUGAGUCCCACACUAGGACGAAACGGCCGUUCAGUGU
rnacentral:hammerhead_ribozyme from 1 species